GAAGCGGCAACAGCUCAAAUUUGAAAUCUGGCGCAAGCCCGAGUUGUAAUUUGUAGAGGAUGCUUCUGGGCAGCGGCCGGUCUAAGUUCCUUGGAACAGGACGUCAUAGAGGGUGAGAAUCCCGUAUGCGACCGGUUGGCACCCGUCACGUAGCUCCUUCGACGAGUCGAGUUGUUUGGGAAUGCAGCUCUAAAUGGGAGGUAAAUUCCUUCUAAAGCUAAAUACCGGCCAGAGACCGAUAGCGCACAAGUAGAGUGAUCGAAAGAUGAAAAGCACUUUGGAAAGAGAGUUAAAAAGCACGUGAAAUUGUUGAAAGGGAAGGGCAUGCAACCAGACUUGUCGGCGGUGUUCCGCCGGGCUUCUGCCCGGUUCACUCGCCGCCGGCAGGCCAGCAUCAUCUGGGUGCGCCGGACAAAGGCGUGAGGAAUGUGGCCCCUCGGGGUGUUAUAGCCUCACGCACAAUACGGUGCCGCCCGGGUGAGGUCCGCGCUUUGGCUAGGAUGCUGGCGUAAUGGUUGCCUGCCGCCCGUCUUGAAACACGGACCAAGGAGUCUAACAUCUAUGCGAGUGUUCGGGUGUCAAACCCCUACGCGUAAUGAAAGUGAACGGAGGUGGGAAGCUUCGGCUGCACCAUCGACCGAUCCUGAUGUCCUCGGAUGGAUUUGAGUAAGAGCAUAGCUGUUGGGACCCGAAAGAUGGUGAACUAUGCCUGAAUAGGGUGAAGCCAGAGGAAACUCUGGUGGA
rnacentral:rRNA from 1 species